GGUCGUCUUAUUUAGUUUUGAGAGGUCUUGUGGGGCCUUAGCUCAGCUGGGAGAGCGCCUGCUUUGCACGCAGGAGGUCAGCGGUUCGAUCCCGCUAGGCUCCAUUAGGAUAGAGAUAUCCUAAAAAUUGUCCAUUGAAAAUUGAAUAUCUAUAUCAAAUUCCACGAUCAAGAAAUUGAUUGUACGAAUAGUAACAAGAAAAUAAACCGAAAACGCUGUGAAUAAUCAAGAGUUUU
rnacentral:tRNA from 1 species